rnacentral:rRNA from 1 species
UACCUGCAGCUCGAGUGGUGAUCGUUAUUAUUGGGCCUAAAACGUCCGUAGCCGGUCUGGUAAAUGCCUGGGUAAAUCGUAUGGCUUAACUAUACGAAUUCCGGGUAGACUGUUAGACUUGAGACCGGGAGAAGCUAGAGGUACUCUUGGGGUAGAGGUGAAAUUCUGUAAUCCUAGGGGGACCACCAGUGGCGAAGGCGUCUAGCUAGAACGGGUCUGACGGUGAGGGACGAAGCCCUGGGGCGCAAACGGGAUUAGAUACCCCGGUAGUCCAGGGUGUAAACGCUGCUUGCCUGAUGUUAGUCUGGCUCCGAGCCAGAUUAGUGUCGGAGAGAAGUUGUUAAGCAAGCUGCCUGGGAAGUACGGCCGCAAGACUGAAACUUAAAGGAAUUGGCGGGGGAGCACAGCAACGGGUGGAGCGUGCGGUUU